UGGUGUGUAGUUUAGUGGUAGAGCAUGUGCUUAGCAUACAUUAAGCCUUGGGUUCAAUUCCCAGCACCACAC
rnacentral:tRNA from 1 species